GGAUCCUUGCUUGAGCAACGACCGCUGCCCUUCUAGCGCCUUCAUUCAUGGUGCAAGAGCUCCGUUAGCCUUGGCCGUGUUUGGUUUCCUGUGUUGCAUACCGUUGCGCGGAAUUGUUUAGUUACAAUCGUCCCUCGUUCGUCUUGUGAUGCCCGCUUCGGCGUGUGYGUUGCUGAUGAAUCACGAAGUGCCCGUUGCCGUCCGMUUCAGCCACGUUAAUUUGUGUGCUUCAUGCGGCCUGUGACCGGGUGCUUGUACUCAUGGAUGCGGAACCUUCGUAGGGCACGGGGAUCGUCCCCUUUCUGCCCAAAAUCAUGCGUUCACCGCUACUAAGCGAACGACCGUCGUUGCUGCCGGCCGAGGCCAGCUGGCUCUAUGAGUCAAUGCGAGCCCGGGCAACAACGACGUCGAUGAGGA
rnacentral:misc_RNA from 1 species